GCCAUGUGCGCGAGUUUCAUUAAGAACUGGUUCAACUUUUGCUGUCGAUCCGCUAGUUCCCCACGCCCACAGUAAUCGACGCGGAAACAAUUCAUUAUGCUAUCGAUGAUCAAUAGGCGGUACUCACCACCCACAAACUCCUUUGACAAUGUGUUCAGAAGUUCCAGCUGGUGCUCGCUGUUCAGUGCUCUAGCAUAAGCAAUAUUCUCCAACGCGGAAUCAGGGUCAACACCAAACCGCUCCGCAAUUUGUGCGAUUCUUUCAGGCCGGAAUGUGCCUUCUGUAUCGAUAUAGGCCACUUUCCCUUCCGCACCGCCCAUGUCCUUUGGCAGCUGAGCCAUGACGGACAUCGUGUGCGAAAGCUGUGUUUUACCACAGCGAAACUCGCCAUAUACCUCGCUGAUACUCAUGCUCUGAAAUCCACUGCACAGAGGCUUGAGUCAAUGUCUCUACUCAAGGACCUUCACGCUCGGGAUAAUGCUAAACACACCCUGCCAAGAUAGAGUCGAAUUGCUUGCUCCCUGUGGAAAUUUUUACAACUCGCUUCCUCUGGUGGCCUAGUUCCAUUGCAGUUAUGAAACCAGAAGCUGAGGGCUACGUGUAUGUCCAUGUUAGUCAAAAAAAAAAAAAAACAAAAAUAGAUUUCCCUAUGCCACCAGUAGCAACCGCUGGACGAGCGAAACAAUUUUGGAAGAGAGGUACAUACCUUGCAUUUCUGAAUAGCCUCUUUAAUUUUCUCUACCUUGACUUCACUGAAGCCCCUGAUUUUCAACAACGUCUUUCUCGUGGCUCCAUGAACAGACUAGAAUGUAUCCGAUCAUCCCCAUUUCCAUUGCCACG
rnacentral:sRNA from 1 species